rnacentral:rRNA from 1 species
UACAGAGGUCUCAAGCGUUGUUCGGAUUCAUUGGGCGUAAAGGGUGCGUAGGCGGCGCGGUAAGUCGGGUGUGAAAUCUUGGAGCUUAACUCCGAAACUGCAUUCGAUACUGCCGUGCUUGAGGACUGGAGAGGAGACUGGAAUUUACGGUGUAGCGGUGAAAUGCGUAGAUAUCGUAAGGAAGACCAGUGGCGAAGGCGGCAUCCUGGACCGGCAUUGACGCUGAGGCGCGAAAAGCCAGGGGGAGCAAAACGGGG